rnacentral:rRNA from 1 species
AUUGAACGCUGGCGGCAUGCUUUACACAUGCCAGUCGAACGGCAGCGCGGGCUUCGGCCUGGCGGCGAGUGGCGAACGGGUGAGUAAUACAUCGGAACGUGCCCAGCAGUGGGGGAUAGCUCGGCGAAAGCCGGAUUAAUACCGCAUACGACCUGAGGGUGAAAGCGGGGGAUCUUCGGACCUCGCGCUAUUGGAGCGGCCGAUGGCAGAUUAGCUAGUUGGUGGGGUAAAGGCCUACCAAGGCGACGAUCUGUAGCUGGUCUGAGAGGACGACCAGCCACACUGGGACUGAGACACGGCCCAGACUCCUACGGGAGGCAGCAGUGGGGAAUUUUGGACAAUGGGCGAAAGCCUGAUCCAGCAAUGCCGCGUGUGUGAUGAAGGCCUUCGGGUUGUAAAGCACUUUUGGCGGGAACGAAAAGGACUGUGCCAAUACCACGGUUCGAUGACGGUACCCGCAGAAUAAGCACCGGCUAACUACGUG